rnacentral:lncRNA from 1 species
AUGUCCUGGCCCUCACAAGCAGCCUCGGAGAUGCCGGAGCAGGGCUGGCACACCAGAGAGCCCAGCCUGGAGACCACCUUGAAGCAGCAAGAACCACGGGGCACAGACUCUGCAAGCAUACACUGUAGCCCAGAGGACCACACAGGGAGCCCCAGCAGGGCAGAAGCAGGGCAGGGAGCGGAAAGGGCAACAACCUCAUGUGCCGAGCACACAGAGUUGUACCCAAAUCACACCCCAGAGAACGGGCAGGAGACACCCGGAGGCCCCGGAGCUGCCAGCAGUGAUGCCCCAAGUCCCCUUUGCAAGCCCUCUGGAGGAAGGAUUCUGUCAAAAGAGAAACCAUCAAAUGUGCGGCAGAAUCCCCUGGUAGAACAAAGCCACGCCAAGUUACAGGUGGUGGAGUGACCCAGCUGCCACCCUGGAUCACGCAGGUAGAGGAGCUUGGCUGUCCUGCUGCCUGGCUCACCAGGGCCAUGUCUGGAGGGGGGUGGGGGCAGUUAUGCUGCAGGCCAACUUAGUGAACUCCUGAAAAACAAGCAUGUGUUAAGUUAGCAGCCCACAGAGAAUAAAAAAGAAAGUUCGACUUAUU